ACCUGGUACAACCUGGUUUUCAUGCAUUGAUUUUUCUUGAUUGUAGAAAAUAUGGUUGAAUAUUUUCUUCAAUAAUUUGUUGUGUCUUUUGUCUUAGUUAUAUUUUUCUCUGUUCUGCUGCAGCUGUUUUCUAUUAUAGAUUACCAUGUGUAACAGUGUUUAGGUUUAAGUUGUAGAAUCCCACUUGCUUUAUAUGGAUCAGUGCAAUGGGGAAAUAGCGCCCCCCUCUCUGUGUGGCUGGUUAAAUGUUGCUGGCUCCUGCACUCAGUGCCAGUCUGUGAAAGCUGCACGAGAGUGUGCUGAAUGAAGCGGAGCCGUUGCACUGAUCUGAACUCCCCAUAUGUUCCCAUUCAGGAAAUAAACUUGAUAAACCAGAAA